AGUGAACGCUGGCGGUAGGCCUAACACAUGCAAGUCGAACGGCAGCACACUAAUAGCUUGCUCUUAUGGGUGGGGAGUGGCGGACGGGUGAGGAAGACAUCGAAAUCUACGCUUUCGUGGGGGAUAACGUAGGGAAACUUAAGCUAAUACCGCAUAUGACGUACGGGUGAAAGCAGGGGAACUUCGGAGCUUGCGCGAUUGAACGAGCCGAUGUGGGAUUAGCUAGUUGGCGGGGUAAAGGCCCACCAAGGCGACGAUACGUAGCUGGUCUCAGAGGAUGAUCCGCCACCCGGGAAGUGGGACACGGUCCAGACUCCUGCGCGAGGCAGCAGUGCGGACUAUUGGGCAAUGGGGGCGAGCCUGAUCCAGCCGUAGCGCGUGGGUGGAGAAGGCGUUCGGGUUGGAAAGCCCUUUUGUUGGGAAAGAAAAGCAGCAGGUUAAUACCCCGCUGUUCUGACGGUACCCGAAGAAGAAGCACCGGCUAACUUCGUG
rnacentral:rRNA from 1 species